rnacentral:tRNA from 1 species
GGGGAUUUAGCUCAGUGGUAGAGCGCUUGCCUAGCAAGCACAAGGCCCUGGGUUCCAUCCUCAGCUCCA